GUUCACUCUGGGUUGAGGGCGUGCCUGUUGACUAUGAAGAGCCAUCAUCAAUGGAUCUCUGAUAACAUGAUCAAACAUGGACCAAAAGCGUAGAUCCACUUACUUUCUCCCACGGAAUUGGAAAUUCUAAUGAACGCGUAUGCCGAGCAGUUACCCAGAGAGAGCUUGGCCUGAAAUAGCUGAACAAGUCAAUGCAGUUGCCCCAAGAGGACUUGGCAGCAAAUGAAGAUGAAGUACAAAAAUAUAGUUCAAACAGGUAAACUAAUGUUGAAUUGAAAUCAAAUCAAUUGUGCUGUUUUGCCUGCUGUACCUAAUUUAACAGCUAUAUUCAACAUGUGAUGGGCCUAUAUUUAAGCAGUAAAUGUAAGUAGUACAUUUCCCAGCCACCCCAACACUGCCAAUAUUUAAUAGGAUUUAGAUAUAUUAGAAGGCUACACCUAGGCAAAAUGCAUUAUAUAUAUAUAUAUAUAGUCUUCAAAAUAGCGCUUACUGAAUAUUAGGGUAACAUUUCCUCCAUGUUAGCAAAUCGAAAAAAUGCAGAGGCCCGGCAGACUGGAGGGGGUCCACCUCCUGCAGCCCUCACAGAGGCUGAAGAGAUGGCCCUCAGCCAACAGAGUAUGCGUCCUGUGGCUGAGGGCAUCCCUGGGGGGAGCUCCUCUGAUUCCCCCCACCCCCCAGGAUAGAAGUGCCUUUACAGUAUAAGAGAUGCCCUCACCAACCUCCAUGCAAUUGUAACAAUUCAAAAGAUGCAAAAGGAUGCUUUGGAGAUCCACAUUUUGGAACAUAAGUUAAAGGUGAGUGAGGUGCAAACUGGGAUACUGUUCCCUGCUCUACUGUGCUUUCAGGAAAUAAAGAAAUCCUCAUAAAAAGUAGAUUGUCUUUAUUAGAACACGGGCUGUGGUGGGACAAGUUAUUUUGUUGAACAGUUUACUCAAAGGGUUUUACUUCAGUGAACAAUGCAGACGAUUAUGCUGAGCAUGUGCAUGUAGAGAAGAACAGCAUCUGGUUAAAAGCAGUACCAGGGUCUUUUCUGCCUUGCAUUCUUAAAAUUAGUUUCUUGACUUGCAGCAGUUAUAGGUCCGUGGUUAGUCAGCCACUCUGAUCAUGGGAAAGCCACAACGUUAAAGUGACUGUAGUACAGAGCGGGUGGGAUGCACGGGGCGCAUCAUUCUGCACAUGCGUUAAUUGCGUAAAAAAACAAAACUUAAACUUAAAGCAUGCCCCCGGUGCGUUUGACAGUUACCAUGGGGACUGAGAAGGUGGUCUAAAUAAAUGAUAGAUUGCGCUGAAAAACGAUAGCGGUCGUGAAGAAAAUUAU
ensembl:lncRNA